CCUACGGGAGGCAGCAGUGGGGAAUUUUGGACAAUGGGCGCAAGCCUGAUCCAGCCAUUCCGCGUGAGUGAAGAAGGCCUUCGGGUUGUAAAGCUCUUUCGCAAGAGAAGAAAACUUACUUUCUAAUAAAGAGUGAGGUUGACGGUAUCUUGAUAAGAAGCACCGGCUAACUACGUGCCAGCAGCCGCGGUAAUACGUAGGGUGCGAGCGUUAAUCGGAAUUACUGGGCGUAAAGCGUGCGCAGGCUGUUUUGUAGGUCAGAUGUGAAAUCCCCGAGCUCAACUUGGGAACUGCGUUUGAAACUACAAGACUAGAAUAUGUCAGAGGGGGGUAGAAUUCCACGUGUAGCAGUGAAAUGCGUAGAGAUGUGGAGGAAUACCAAUGGCGAAGGCAGCCCCCUGGGAUAAUAUUGACGCUCAUGCACGAAAGCGUGGGGAGCAAACAGGAUUAGAUACCCUGGUAGUCCACGCCCUAAACGAUGUCUACUAGUUGUUGGUGGAGUAAAAUCCAUGAGUAACCGNAGNAGCGCGUGAGUAGACCGCCGNGGGAGGUACGGUCGCGAGAAGUUAAACGUUAAAGUUAGUAAGUUAGUACGGACGUAGAGACGUUAGCCGACGGACGACGACGAGGGAGGAGGG
rnacentral:rRNA from 1 species